GGCUUUUUGGUGAUGUGGUCAGCAUGUCUGACUUUUACCGGGGAGUCUGGGGUUCAAUUCCCCGCCAGGGCCC